rnacentral:rRNA from 1 species
UACGUAGGGUGCGAGCGUUAAUCGGAAUUACUGGGCGUAAAGGGUGCGCAGGCGGCGUCGCAAGUCAGGCGUGAAAUCCCCGGGCUUAACCUGGGAACUGCGCUCGAAACUACGAUGCUCGAGUGUGGCAGAGGAAGGUGGAAUUCCACGUGUAGCGGUGAAAUGCGUAGAGAUGUGGAGGAACACCGAUGGCGAAGGCAGCCUUCUGGGCCAACACUGACGCUCAUGCACGAAAGCGUGGGGAGCAAACAGG